CCCAAACCAAACAUCAGAGAUUCAGAGGGCAGAGGCAACAGAGUUUAAUGGCUCAAUGUCCGCGAAUCGAAACCGUACGGGAUACAAGUAGGGAUCUAAUAAGUCAUCUGCCGGUAGAGGUAAAGGACAGAAUUUUGGAGUGUUUGCCCACCCGAGAUGCUGCCAGAACUGCUGUGCUCGCAACCCAUUGGAAUGAUGUUUGGUUGCAGCAUGGGUUUGAUUUGAACUUCUUCCGGGGUUUAGGAGAAUGCAAAGGUUAUAGUCUCGUAUCUUAAGUUAAAAUAAUAACAUACAUUCUCUUGCAGCGUGUGAAGGGAUCAAUAAUUUUAAGAUUAGUGCUCCAAAACUUGAGAGCUUGUCUAUUACUUGUAUAUGUGCGGUUGAAUCGAGAUGGUUUGCACUUCAUUUGAAAACAAAAGGUUCUUCGCAUUGAGGGCAUCUUGUUGUUGAAUUGGGAAGAUGUUGAAGUAACCUCCUUCCCAACUGCAAUAAAUCUGCAAGUAAUCAAAUUGCAUUUUUUAAAGUUUUCCAAUGAAAAGCAGCUCAUGGGUGUUUUGCAAUUCCUUCAAAAAUCUCCCAACCUAUGUGAACUCGGCAUUACAGGAACAUGUUUAGAAGAUGAACACGUGGAAGAUGAUGGCAUAGAAGUUGCUUCAAGACUUUUGAAGGAUCUAAAAAUGCUUAAAACAAUCAACAU